rnacentral:rRNA from 1 species
CUGAACUUUUCUCAAGGUUGACCUCGGAUCAGGUAGG